AUUGAACGCUGGCGGCAUGCCUUACACAUGCAAGUCGAACGGCAGCACGGGUGCUUGCACCUGGUGGCGAGUGGCGAACGGGUGAGUAAUACAUCGGAACAUGUCCUGUAGUGGGGGAUAGCCCGGCGAAAGCCGGAUUAAUACCGCAUACGAUCUACGGAUGAAAGCGGGGGCCCUUCGGGCCUCGCGCUAUAGGGUUGGCCGAUGGCUGAUUAGCUAGUUGGUGGGGUAAAGGCCUACCAAGGCGACGAUCAGUAGCUGGUCUGAGAGGACGACCAGCCACACUGGGACUGAGACACGGCCCAGACUCCUACGGGAGGCAGCAGUGGGGAAUUUUGGACAAUGGGCGAAAGCCUGAUCCAGCAAUGCCGCGUGUGUGAAGAAGGCCUUCGGGUUGUAAAGCACUUUUGUCCGGAAAGAAAGCCUUGGCCCUAAUACGGUCGGGGGAUGACGGUACCGGAAGAAUAAGCACCGGCUAACUACGUG
rnacentral:rRNA from 1 species